CUUGAGCAGCCUCUAUGCAUUUCGGUGUGUAUGCCAAUGUUCUCGUACUCGGUUCGGAGCUAGUUGUUGUGUUGCGAGCGUGUGCACUUCUCCUCCGGUAGGACGUUGCGACUCGUUGGGUGCCGGUCUAAGGCCCGGUGUGGAGCCCAUUGCGUUUGGCAUUUAUUUGUCUUGCGUAGUGGACCAUCGGUGUUCCCGACCGGCCCGCUUGACGGUAUUGAGAUGGCGCGGGGCCGCGACUUGUUCGCGCUCAGCCCGUCGCAAGCACACUCGGUUCUUACCAUGGAGCCACGGACCUAGUGCCGUGCCCUGGCCCGAGUGGCUGUUCGCGACGGUGUCCUUGAGCAGACUCCGAUACACACGCCGGUCAGCGACGAUACUGAUUUGGGUAAUUUCAGGGCCCGUCUUGAAACACGGACCAAGGAGUCUAGCAUGUGCGCGAGUCAUUGGGUA
rnacentral:rRNA from 1 species